UGUAGUUGUUUAUUUUACUCGUGAGUGAUCUACCCAGAAUGCCCUGUCACAUUACACACAGUGUGUAACACACAGGGAAGCCUGACAGCAACCCGUAAGGGUCAAAAUAUGCAUGAAUACAUAACAAUCCCAGCAACAGUUCUCAGCAAUUCCUUUCAGAAUUUACUUUGAUUAAAUGCAGGUAUGUGUUCAUGAAGUUACAGUGCAGUGCUUAUUGAGGGGAUGCAAGAAAGGAAUGUGAUCAGCUUCAUAACUCAUGGGGGUCGGAACUGUUUGUUCUAUGAGAGGAAGGUUUUACAGAGAACUCAGCUUCAACAUAGUUUUACUGAAGGAUUUGGAGUUUUGACCUCUGUCUGUCUCUGAAUUAAGGGCUCCACAGAGUCCAAGCUGCUGCUAAAUUUUGAUUAGAUCAUUCAAAUAAAAAACCUUUCAAGAGAGCUGCUACUCUUAAAAAAAAGACUGUGGGAAGUGCUGGCAAAGUAUUGCAUAUCUGGAAAUCUACAACAAAACAGCAAAUUCUGGAAAUACUAAGAAGGUCAGACAGCAUCUGGAGAAGAAAGGGAAUUAACAUUUCAGCUGAACAAAUGCUCAGUGGAUGACGAUAAUAAGUCUUGUCCAAAGCCAAAACAGAUUAGAAAAUUACGUAUUGCAUUGAACAGCUGCUGCUAAGUUAACAAAUUUCACGUCACAUGCUGGUGAUGAUUUUGAGAUGCGCAGUAGAGGACAUCCUAAAAAGCUGCAUCACUGCAUGGUAGGGAAACCGCACUGCCACAAACAGACAGGAUGACUCUACAACUGCCCGACACAUCACUGGCACCAGUCUACCUGCCAUCAACAACUAUACUGUACACAGAAAACUGCUGCAAAAGGGCCAGUACACGCCGGGUUUACGGACAGUCUGUCCCACUCCAAUCAGGGAGGAGGCUACGUAUCAUCCACACCAGGACCACCAGGCUCAAAAACAGUUAUAGUACUUCCCCCAAGCAAUAGGACUGAUCAACACCUCCGCCCACUAACUCCACCCCUACUUUAUUGUUUCUUGUCAGUUACUUCCUGUACAGCCAGGUGUUACUUUAUAGUCAUACAAUCAAACUAUGUAUAUAAGUUUACUUAUGUAUUUACUGUAUAUAAAUUGUGUUCUUUAGUGUUUGUGUUUUUUUGGUACUGCAUUGGAUUCAGAAUAACAAUUAUUUCAUUCUCCUUGCACUUGUGUACAGAAAAUUACAUUAAACAAUCUUAAACCUUGAAUCUCAGGACCCACACCACCAAGUGCGGGAGCAAUUAUUACCCCACAGCCAUCAGGCUCUUAAACAGGGGGCAUAACUUUACUCUACUUCACUUGCCCCAUCACUGAACUGUUCCCACAACCUAUGGACUCACCCUCAAGGACUCUACUACUUAUUUUCUCAAUAUUUAUUGCUUAUUUACUUAUUAUUAAUAUUUUGUGUUUUUUUCCUCAGUUUUUAUUUGUAUAGUUUUCUGGUUUUGCAGAUUGGUUGUUGCUCAUCCUAUUGGUGAUGGUUACUCAUUGAUUCUAUUGUGUUGCUUUUAUUUACUGUGAAU